AGAGUUUGAUCCUGGCUCAGGACGAACGCUGGCGGCGCGCCUAACACAUGCAAGUCGAACGAGCGAGAGAGAGCUUGCUUUCUCGAGCGAGUGGCGAACGGGUGAGUAACGCGUGAGGAACCUGCCUCAAAGAGGGGGACAACAGUUGGAAACGACUGCUAAUACCGCAUAGGCCCACGGGUCGGCAUCGACCAGAGGGAAAAGGAGCAAUCCGCUUUGAGAUGGCCUCGCGUCCGAUUAGCUAGUUGGUGAGGUAACGGCCCACCAAGGCAACGAUCGGUAGCCGGACUGAGAGGUUGAACGGCCACAUUGGGACUGAGACACGGCCCAGACUCCUACGGGAGGCAGCAGUGGGGAAUAUUGCACAAUGGGGGAAACCCUGAUGCAGCGACGCCGCGUGGAGGAAGAAGGUCUUCGGAUUGUAAACUCCUGUUGUUGAGGAAGAUAAUGACGGUACUCAACAAGGAAGUGACGGCUAACUACGUGCCAGCAGCCGCGGUAAAACGUAGGUCACAAGCGUUGUCCGGAAUUACUGGGUGUAAAGGGAGCGCAGGCGGGAAGACAAGUUGGAAGUGAAAUCCAUGGGCUCAACCCAUGAACUGCUUUCAAAACUGUUUUUCUUGAGUAGUGCAGAGGUAGGCGGAAUUCCCGGUGUAGCGGUGGGAUGCGUAGAUAUCGGGAGGAACACCAGUGGCGAAGGCGGCCUACUGGGCACCAACUGACGCUGAGGCUCGAAAGUGUGGGUAGCAAACAGGAUUAGAUACCCUGGUAGUCCACACCGUAAACGAUGAUUACUAGGUGUUGGAGGAUUGACCCCUUCAGUGCCGCAGUUAACACAAUAAGUAAUCCACCUGGGGAGUACGACCGCAAGGUUGAAACUCAAAGGAAUUGACGGGGGCCCGCACAAGCAGUGGAGUAUGUGGUUUAAUUCGACGCAACGCGAAGAACCUUACCAAGUCUUGACAUCCUGCGACGGUUCUGGAAACAGAGCUUUCCUUCGGGACGCAGAGACAGGUGGUGCAUGGUUGUCGUCAGCUCGUGUCGUGAGAUGUUGGGUUAAGUCCCGCAACGAGCGCAACCCUUAUGGUCAGUUACUACGCAAGAGGACUCUGGCCAGACUGCCGUUGACAAAACGGAGGAAGGUGGGGAUGACGUCAAAUCAUCAUGCCCUUUAUGACUUGGGCUACACACGUACUACAAUGGCGUUAAACAAAGAGAAGCAGGACCGCGAGGUGGAGCAAAACUCAGAAACAACGUCCCAGUUCGGACUGCAGGCUGCAACUCGCCUGCACGAAGUCGGAAUUGCUAGUAAUCGUGGAUCAGCAUGCCACGGUGAAUACGUUCCCGGGCCUUGUACACACCGCCCGUCACACCAUGAGAGCCGGGGGGACCCGAAGUCGGUCGUCUAACCGCAA
rnacentral:rRNA from 1 species